UGUUCAGUGGUGAAAUCGGUAGACAUGGUGACGGACACCUUUUGAGCUCGCAUAUUGCAUCAUAUGCUGGCGAUGGUGGUAAAUCGCCGACGGAAUCAGUCGUGCAGGUUCGAGUCCUGCCUGAACAA
rnacentral:tRNA from 1 species